GCUUACACCGUCGUUUUUGCUCCCUUUUGGCUGCCUGUGCUGCCGCGUUCGAUUCGCCGCUGCUUGGUCUCGUUUGGUUCCAUCCGCUAUGGCAGAGGGCCGGGAUUUGCACGGCGUGGAUCGCUGCUUCCAUGGUUCUUGAACCUGUUCAUCAGCACAGCAAAGGUCUUCCGCGGCGGCAGCUCGCGUGCGGACCCCCCUGUCUUUCCUUCGCUUUCUGGAUCGACUCGUUCGUGUCUUCUCUGUCUCGUCCUCCUCUCGUACUUGCUUCGUCCUUGUUGUCCCACGGCGUUCGCGGGCCUCUUCGUCCGAGGCGCUAUGUUUACUGUGAACACGUCGCACAUCCUGCUUCUGAAUGUAGCCACGGAACGCUGCAUGCUUCCACCGCCCUAUUAUCUAUGGGAGUUUGACUCAGGCGAUAGGUUGUUGGCUGGAAUUGAGCUUGUCUUCCCAGCAUAUGCAGCCCCAGCUUAG
rnacentral:lncRNA from 1 species